rnacentral:misc_RNA from 1 species
GUUACUCAGGAAAAGCUUUGGAAAGUAGGAAAAUUUUCCAGCAAUGGAUAAGACAAUGCUGCUUGAGAUUGUAUCGGACAUGUUGAAUUAAUAUGCCUUCCGGCCCAAUAAUUGCUUUGCACAGAAUUGGAGCUUGGCUUGGACCCCAAAAAAUGAAACAGAGCAUGACUGAUAUUCCAACUGGACUUCUUGUUUGCUUGCAGUACUAGCUGGGUACAUUAGCCGCAUGAAGACAUCAUGUAGCCUUAACAAAGAGAACUCUGUACGUUUCCAGUCUACAAAACUGUUAAUUUCAAUCAUGACAGUCGCUGUUAAUUUCAAUCAUGACACAUAAGUGGCUAUAAUUA